AGGGUUUGAUCAUGGCUCAGAUUGAACGCUGGCGGCAGGCCUAACACAUGCAAGUCGAGCGGUAGAGAGAAGCUUGCUUCUCUUGAGAGCGGCGGACGGGUGAGUAAUGCCUAGGAAUCUGCCUGGUAGUGGGGGAUAACGUUCGGAAACGGACGCUAAUACCGCAUACGUCCUACGGGAGAAAGCAGGGGACCUUCGGGCCUUGCGCUAUCAGAUGAGCCUAGGUCGGAUUAGCUAGUUGGUGAGGUAAUGGCUCACCAAGGCGACGAUCCGUAACUGGUCUGAGAGGAUGAUCAGUCACACUGGAACUGAGACACGGUCCAGACUCCUACGGGAGGCAGCAGUGGGGAAUAUUGGACAAUGGGCGAAAGCCUGAUCCAGCCAUGCCGCGUGUGUGAAGAAGGUCUUCGGAUUGUAAAGCACUUUAAGUUGGGAGGAAGGGUUGUAGAUUAAUACUCUGCAAUUUUGACGUUACCGACAGAAUAAGCACCGGCUAACUCUGUGCCAGCAGCCGCGGUAAUACAGAGGGUGCAAGCGUUAAUCGGAAUUACUGGGCGUAAAGCGCGCGUAGGUGGUUUGUUAAGUUGGAUGUGAAAUCCCCGGGCUCAACCUGGGAACUGCAUUCAAAACUGACUGACUAGAGUAUGGUAGAGGGUGGUGGAAUUUCCUGUGUAGCGGUGAAAUGCGUAGAUAUAGGAAGGAACACCAGUGGCGAAGGCGACCACCUGGACUAAUACUGACACUGAGGUGCGAAAGCGUGGGGAGCAAACAGGAUUAGAUACCCUGGUAGUCCACGCCGUAACGAUGUCAACUAGCCGUUGGAAGCCUUGAGCUUUUAGUGGCGCAGCUAACGCAUUAAGUUGACCGCCUGGGGAGUACGG
rnacentral:rRNA from 1 species